UCUUUUUUUUUUAAGAUUUAUUUUUAUUUAUUUUGAGAGAGAUAGAGAGCAAGCAGGGGAGGAACAGAGAAAGAGAGGGAGACAGAAUCCCAAGCAGGCUCCACGCCAUCAGCGCAGAGUCUGACAUGGGGGUCGAACCCACAGACUGUGAGAUGAUGACCUGAGCUGAAAUCAAGAAUCGGACGCCUAACCGACUGAACCACCCAGGUGCCCCAGGUACCAUACUUGUAUCGUGGACUCUGAGAACCAAAAGGAACUUUAGAAGGAGAGCCUUUGGUCUAACCCCCUCAUUUGACAGGCAGGGAGACUGAGGCACAGAGAGAGGAAUGUCUACAAAGCCUGUUAGUGGCAGGGUCAGGUCUGGAAUGAGAUUUGCUAUUUCUCAGGCCUGAGUUCUUUCUUCUACACCGUAUAUCAGCUAUUCCACCCAGAAAGAAGGAAGUCAGACAAGUAUCUAUUGUGCUUCUAUUAGCAUCAGGAAUUCUGUUAGUAUCAGGAGUAAGUUGCCUCUCAGAAUUCAACCUCCACACACCCUGAGAACCAGUGAUUCACUUCUGGAUAUCUUUGCUAGAAAAACACAGGAACACGGAUGUUGACUGUAACAUUGUUUGUUAAAGCAAAAACUAGAAACAACCAACAGAGGGUUGACUAAACAAAAUGUGGUAAAGUUCAUUGAAUGCUCAAUACUUUCUAUAUAAUAAUGAAAAGGAAAAAUGAGAUCUAGGUGCAUCAAUGUGUAUCGAUCAUAAGAGCACAGUUAGGUGAAGAAUGAGUACAACAAAACCAUAUCAGUGAAGCUUUUCCUGAAAGAUGGUAUACUUGUAGUUCAUAAGAGCAGCACCCUCUGAAGAGAGAUGAAAGAGACAGAGACGGGGCAGUGAUCACAGGACACGUCAGCUUUAUCUGUAAUGCUCUAAUCUUUUCAAAAGUGAAUAAGCUCAUGUGUUAAUGCUGUAAUUAAAACCAGUUUUUGCAGGGGCGCCUGGCUGGCUCAGCCAAUAGAGCAUGCGACUCUUGAUCUCGGGGUUGUGAGUUCGAGCCCCACUUCGGGUGUAGAGACUACUUAAAAAUAAAAUCUUUGAAACAAAAAUAAAUUUUUAUACACCAGUGCCAGUUGUUCUGCACAUGAGGAUGAGUGGGGCAGGACCCCUGCCUCAGAGAACUCAAGACAGUGGCAGGAAUCAGGAAGAGAAAAGGGGAGGGAUACAACAAGGAUCUCGUGCUGUCUCCUCCCAAGUUGAUUUGAGUGAUCUGCACAUUUUCAGGAGGCCAGGGGAGGAAUUCCGCAGGUAGAGGAAUGGGGCGCCCUGGUGAGACGAGCCAGGGUGGGUGUGUGUUGUUCGCCUUUGCCAACUGUUCAAAAGGUUUGGGGUUCCAGUGUGUACUCGGACUUGCAUUCCAUGGGUCCUCUGUGCUUGUACCACCAAAGCUGAUGAGUCUGAAGGACUCACAUCCUCAGCGAGGGGGCAGAAGGCAGCCUCUUCUCUCAAAAAUCAGGGCAAGUAUUUGGAGCACACGGCAGGACCCGAUCUGCUCCGUCCUCAGGCUCCUGAGCAGCCAUCACCAGACCACCUGUGUGCCACCCACCUCCUACUGAAAACCGUGACUCAGUGUUCAGUGGCAUCUGGGUCCUUGGAGUCACCAUGGGGAGAAUUCAGAUCCUGUGGAGUAUGCACACUUUUUUUUUUUUUUUUUUUUUUUUUUUUUGGCCUUCAGAGGCUGAGCAGAGGAGUCCUCUAAAGAUUUCCUUUUAGGGAGAAAUCCCCCAAGCCGGCGACAUAGAAAUGUGUCUGCUCCACUGUUGGUGUCAUCCUACAAGAAUCUGGCCUCUCACAUCCAGGGUUUGGCAUGUGUUUCCACUUAGAAGACUGUAAAUUCCUUCCCUGUUCUGGUGAACACCAUUUCCUUGGGACUGUUAGAAAUCUCAAUUUGUCAAAUGCUGAGUAUUUGACCAACAAAUGCCUAGACAUUCUGGAGGCUGGAGAGGAAGUGCCAGUUUUCUGUCUCCCAGCCCUCAAGGAAUAGUCCAAAAUUUAGUCAUCCCAUAGACCGAAGAAAAGUUAACAAAAUAUGACCUUCCAGGCUAGCUGGGGUUCAGGGGACUCACAUAAUAUCUAAGUGAGCAACAAGGGAGAUCCUGCCACAUGUUUAAAGUCAAGAGGUUUUGAUGGUGUCACUGUUUGCAUUGAUUUCUGGGACAUAGUCAGGUGACCUGAUUUGAUCUCUGGUGCUACCAUGGAAAGCACACUAGCCAGGGGUCCUUGUUCCAGCUUCACACCUGAAUUGAUGCAUAAUCUACUGCUAGACAUUGAAUAUCUCAGUCUUUGUUUCCCCGCCUGUUAAAUGAGCUAAUGGGUGUUUGGCUGCCAUAGUUGAGCCGUCUUUCAUGAUUGUUGUGAUGAACAAAAAUAAGUUAAAAGACUUUCAAAAAACACAAAGGAUGAUACCAAGGAUAUCGAGAUACCAUUCUCCUCCAAAGGGCACUAAACGUAAUCAAAGUGUUCCAUGAAGAAAUUUAUUUCCACAUUUAUUUUCACAGAUGCUUUUUCUGUUCCCUUGUUAACUCAGAAAAGAACGGCAGGAAGAGAGAGAAAAAUCCACCCCCCCCCCCACGUUGAGUUAGGAUAGAAAAGAACUGGAUGAAAUGUAUAUGAAACACAUCCCAUAUAUAUGUACAUAAAACCAAGUCACAAAUUGAGGGCCUUUGCUGCAAACAAUCAUUAGUGCACUUUUUUCAAAGCAAAAAGGAAAAAGGACAUGAAAGAAAACUCACACCCUGAAAAGUAUAAAUGCCAACAAAAAGUGAAAGUGUUCAACCUUACCUGUAAUCACUGAAAUGGAAAUUAAAAGACUAGGGUACAAUUUUUCAUCUCUCAAGUUGGCAAAGAACUUUGCUUACUGAGAACAGAGUGCUAAUGAGGGUAAAAGGUGCGGACUUCAUGGAGAGGGUACAGAGUGCUUCUGCCUGUCUGCAGACCAGUGUGCUGCUAGGUAGCAAAAGCCUUUUAAAAUAUGUACACACUUCAACUGCAUCGUCCUACUCCUCCUUCUAGGAUUUUAUCCUAAGAAAGUGAUCAGAGAUAAGCUUAAAAAGUAUUACAUAGGAGGACAGUUGCUUAAGAAUUGUCUGCAAUAAUGAAAAUUUGUAAACACUUUAAAAUAAUCAGAUAGAAGACUCAAGGGGCGCCUGGGUGGCUCAGUCGGUCAAGUGUUCCGACUUUGGCUCAGGUCAUGAUCUCACAAUUCGUGAGUUCAAGCCCCGUGUCAGGCUCUGUGCUGACAGCUCCGAGCCUGGAGCUUUCUUCCGAUUCUGUGUCUCCCUCCCUCUGCCCAUCCCUUGUUCAUGCUCACUCUCUCUCUCUCUCUUUCUGUUUCUCUCUCUCUCUC